AUAGGUCCUUCAAGCGAUGAACACCAUAGAAGAACCACUUUGGGUUCCGCAAAGAACCUUUCAGUGAACGGUUCUUAAAAGAACCAUUUUUUCUUAG